rnacentral:misc_RNA from 1 species
GAUGAAGAACGUAGCGAAAUGCGAUAAGUAAUGUGAAUUGCAGAAUUCAGUGAAUCAUCGAAUCUUUGAACGCACAUUGCGCCCGCCAGUAUUCUGGCGGGCAUGCCUGUUCGAGCGUCAUUACAACCCUCAGGCCCCCGGGCCUGGCGUUGGGGAUCGGCGGAGCCCCCCGUGGGCACACGCCGUCCCCCAAAUACAGUGGCGGUCCCGCCGCAGCUUCCAUCGCGUAGUAGCUAACACCUCGCGAUUGGAGAGCGGCGCGGCCACGCCGUAAAACACCCAACUCUUCUGAAGUUGACCUCGAAUCCGGUAGGAAUACCCGCUGAACUUAAGCAUAUCAAUAAGCGGAGGA